GAAGGAGCGUAAUCACUUGUUCUUUAAUGAGGACUAGUAUGAAUGGCCCCACGAGGGCUGCACUGUCUCCUUUUUCUAAUCAAUGAAACUAAUCUCCCCGUGAAGAAGCGGGGAUAACCAUAUAAGACGAGAAGACCCUAUGGAGCUUAAAACAACUGAAACAUUUGCUUUUACCUUAACUGCCCCAGGGCUCUUUAUUUUACCUAAGCAUUUUUAUUUCUAGUUUUAGGUUGGGGUGACCACGGAGCAAAACUAAACCUCCACGAAGAAAUGAAUUCUUUUUAAGCCACAAACUACUUUUUUAAGCAUCAACAAAUUGACCUUCAUUGACCCAAUAUAUUGAUCAACGAACCAAGUUACCCUAGGGAUAACAGCGCAAUCUACUUCAAGAGCUCAUAUCGACAAGUAGGUUUACGACCUCNAUGU
rnacentral:rRNA from 1 species